UUUCAGACAAGAUGUAGUCUUUCAACACUUCCCGAUGCACAGACUAGUUGAAAACCCAGGAAUAUGGACAAUUGUUAAAUACAAAUAUGGUCGCUUGAUAGCCAAAGACAGCAAUGAACUGGACUGGGUGUACGUUGUCAAAUCGGGAGAAGCUCGCUUGUUGAAGUAUCUUGAGCCGAGCUACGUGGAUAUCAAAACCAGACGACAGAAAAUUGCAACAGCCAUGGAAAAAGACUCGCCAUUUUUUAAAAAGAAACAAAUU